rnacentral:rRNA from 1 species
AAGCGAAAGCUUGACAGGGCUAUCCCGAGUGCCAUCCGCUGAGGAAGGCUUUUACCCAGUCUAGAACGCUGGGGGAAUAAGGAGAGGGCAAGUCUGGUGUCAGCCGCCGCGGUAAUACCAGCUCUCCGAGUGGUGUGGAUGUUUAUUGGGCCUAAAGCAUCCGUAGCUGGCUAAGUUAGUCCCUUGUUAAAUCCACCGAAUUAAUCGUUGGAUUGCGGGGGAUACUGCUUGGCUAGGGGACGAGAGAGGCAGACGGUAUUUUCGGGGUAGGGGUGAAAUCCUAUAAUCCCGGGAAGACCACCAGUGGCGAAGGCUGUCUGCUAGAACGCGCCCGACGGUGAGGGAUGAAAGCUGGGGGAGCGAACCGGAUUAGAUACCCGGGUAGUCCCAGCUGUAAACGAUGCAGGCUAGGUGUUUGGACGGCCACGUGCCGUUCUAGUGCCGCAGGGAAGCUGUUAAGCCUGCCGCCUGGGGAGUACGAUCGCAAGAUUGAAACUUAAAGGAAUUGGCGGGGGAGCAC